UUGUUGGUGGGGUAAUGGCCUACCAAGGCGACGAUCAGUAGCGGGUCUGAGAGGAUGAUCCGCCACACUGGAACUGAGACACGGUCCAGACUCCUACGGGAGGCAGCAGUGGGGAAUUUUGGACAAUGGGGGCAACCCUGAUCCAGCCAUUCCGCGUGAGUGAAGAAGGCCUUCGGGUUGUAAAGCUCUUUCAGCUGGAACGAAACGGUACGCCUUAAUACGGUGUGCUAAUGACGGUACCAGCAGAAGAAGCACCGGCUAACUACGUGCCAGCAGCCGCGGUAAUACGUAGGGUGCGAGCGUUAAUCGGAAUUACUGGGCGUAAAGCGUGCGCAGGCGGAUUGUUAAGCAAGAUGUGAAAUCCCCGGGCUUAAUCUGGGAAUGGCAUUUUGAACUGGCAGUCUAGAGUGUGUCAGAGGGGGGUGGAAUUCCACGUGUAGCAGUGAAAUGCGUAGAUAUGUGGAGGAACACCAAUGGCGAAGGCAGCCCCCUGGGAUAACACUGACGCUCAUGUACGAAAGCGUGGGUAGCAAACAGGAUUAGAUACCCUGGUAGUCCACGCCCUAAACGAUGUCAACUGGUUGUUGGGGGAGUGAAAUCCCUUAGUAACGAAGCUAACGCGUGAAGUUGACCGCCUGGGGAGUACGGUCGCAAGAUUAAAACUCAAAGGAAUUGACGGGGACCCGCACAAGCGGUGGAUGAUGUGGAUUAAUUCGAUGCAACGCGAAAAACCUUACCUACCCUUGACAUGUCCAGAAUCCUGCAGAGAUGCGGGAGUGCCCGAAAGGGAAUUGGAACACAGGUGCUGCAUGGCUGUCGUCAGCUCGUGUCGUGAGAUGUUGGGUUAAGUCCCGCAACGAGCGCAACCCUUAUCAUUAGUUGCUACGCAAGGGCACUCUAAUGAGACUGCCGG
rnacentral:rRNA from 1 species